GGCUGUUUUAUAUAAAUAUAAAUAUAAAUAUAAAUAUAAAUAUAAAUAUAAAUAUAAAUAUAAAUAUAAAUAUAAAUAUAAAUAUAAAUAUAAAUAUAAAUAUAAAUAUAAAUAUAAAUAUAAAUAUAUCUGUAAUUAAAAAUUAAAAAAAGUAGGUAGGCUAUUUGGAACUGGAUUACAGAAAAAUGUGAUUUACCAAAAUCUAUCUAGGUUUUCUGGGUGUCUGAUUAACAGUUUAUAAUUCCUAAUACACAGGGAAUCAAGAGUCAAGGACCCUAUUUUGAGAGCUGUCACUAAUUAGCUAUGUGCUCUUGGGUGAACUGUUUACUCAGUUAACUUUUUAUUAGUAAUAUGAUAUCAUUUUCCUAGAUGUGCAAUGGCUUAAGUGGACUGGUAAGGACCUGGAAGUUUCUAUUAUCAAGUCAGAAUAAAGAACUCAAAAAAUUCCAGGUUAGAAGGCAUCUUACUUUAUCUAGUCCAAACAUAGAAAAGCAGAAUGCCUAUAGAGCCCUGAAGGUAAUUAAGGGGAAGAAAGUAGAACAGCAGCUCAGAUAAGAUGAGAAAUGGCAAUUAGUAGUUAGUGUUGGGAAUGUAGGGAAUUAACCACUUCUGCCUGUGGUUAAAUGGAGACAAGAAAAUUUGUCUAAAGGGGCCAGUAACUCCUGCCUCUUACUUAUUGUUGCCACAAAUAACAGAGUCCAAUUUUGCUAAAUUUUCAGAUGCACAAGUGCCAAGAGAUAUUCUAAGAUAUGCAAGAAAUUAAGAUUUUCAUGCCAAAUCCUCUAAAUUUUGUAUGGAAACAAAUUUGUUUCUUUUUGAAUAAUAUCUUACAGCCAAACAAAGAAAUCACAGGGCUGCAUUUAGUCCUCAAACCACCCAAUUGCCACCUGCUCGAAUACAGUCUCCCAUUUGAUGCUUGGAUUCUGCCACAGCAUCCCUGGGAAGUGAUGGCUCCAUUCUCCAGAAGACCAAAGGGGUGGCGGUCAAUAAGGUGAGUCGAUUAAUGCUGAUAUCUUGAAAAUCAAUAGUACAAGUAUGAAGACACUCUGUUACUUUGUCACACCUUGGCAGGACCAAAUGCCAGCUCUCGGCACAGAGGUAUUAGGCACUCCUACAAAGUAGUUCUCGAGUUCGGUAUCACGUGACCCAGCCAUUCGCCCAAGCACACUGUGUUCUGCUCCAAACAAGGCAACCAAGUCCUUUCGUUAAAUGCUGACAGUCAUCUUUCUGGGCAAACUAAAAUAAUUCCUUUCCGAAUGAGUAUCUUCUUUACCACCUCAGGCAUCAAUUUUGUCAUUCAUCAAAUUGUACUAAAAAAUCCAGAUAAGUGUUCAUACCUCCCCAUUCAGAUUUAUUCUGAAGAUACAUCUGCUUUAGUGUAUAUUGAAAGGGAAAAUUGUUAAUGCAUUGAGUUAUUGCAUUAUUUUGCAUUGAAAUUAUUUUUGGAACACAUAUGACCCAUUUUCUCUCCAUUAAUGCAUUGGAUUCCUGGGGCUUCUGUGUCAAAUUACAGACGGUAGCUUAAAACAACAGACGUGUGAUCUUUCAGGUUUGAGAGCAGCAGUUUGAAAUCUGUGUGUGAGCGAGGCAGGGCCUUCUGGAACUCUGAGAGACACCUGCUCUACACCCAUCCCCUAGCUUCUGGCACCCACACUGGUAGUCCCGUGAUGCCAGUGUCUGCCCACCCUCACGGGACCUUCCCUGUGUCCUCUCUUCCAUCCGUGUCUCUCCUCUUCCUAUAAGGACGCUUGUCAUUGGAUUCAGGACCCAGCCGAUUAAUCCAGGAUGAUCUCAUCUUGAGAGCCUUAACUUAAUCACACCUGCAAAAACUCUUUUUCCAAAUAAGCUCAAGUUUACAGGUACUGGGGUUUAGGACUUGGACAUAUUUUUUUUUUCAAUAUAUGAAGUUUAUUGCCAAAUUGGUUUCCAUACAACACCCAGUGCUCAUCCCAAAAGGUGCCCUCCUCAAUACCCAUCACCCACCCUCCCCUCCCU
ensembl:lncRNA